rnacentral:rRNA from 1 species
GACGAACGCUGGCGGCGUGCUUAACACAUGCAAGUCGAACGGAAAGGCCCUGCUUUUGUGGGGUGCUCGAGUGGCGAACGGGUGAGUAACACGUGAGUAACCUGCCCUUGACUUUGGGAUAACUUCAGGAAACUGGGGCUAAUACCGGAUAGGAGCUCCUGCUGCAUGGUGGGGGUUGGAAAGUUUCGGCGGUUGGGGAUGGACUCGAGGCUUAUCAGCUUGUUGGUGGGGUAGUGGCUUACCAAGGCUUUGACGGGUAGCCGGCCUGAGAGGGUGACCGGCCACAUUGGGACUACGGUACGGCCCAGACUCCUACGGGAGGCAGCAGUGGGGAAUAUUGCACAAUGGGCCGAAGCCUGAUGCAGCAACGCCGCGUGCGGGAUGACGGCCUUCGGGUUGUAAACCGCUUUCGCCUGAGCCGAAGCGUGCGUGACGGUAAUGGGUAAAGAAGCACCGGCUAACUACGUG